rnacentral:rRNA from 1 species
UGGUGGAGUGGUUUGUCUGGUUAAUUCCGUUAACGAACGAGACCUUAACCUGCUAAAUAGUUACGGGAAUUUUGAAUUCCUAGUUUAACUUCUUAGAGGGACUAUGGAUGUUUAAUCCAUGGAAGUUUGAGGCAAUAACA